ensembl:lncRNA
UUGUCUUCUUUCAAACUCUAUUCAGAGGCCAGGAGAGAUGGGGGAAAGGAAUCUGUUGCCAAGGCUAGUGACCUGAAUUUGCCAUGUGACAGGAUACCGGCAGUCUAGUCCAAUAGCAAGCCACCAUGCUCCACCGAACAGGCAUGAGUCAGCGGGAAGAGACAAGAAUCAGCUGGAAUACCAUGAGAAGUCCUUUUGUGCGUUUCUCUCUAGGAAGUGAAGACCAGCAAAGACCACCGAAGGCUGGAAACAUCUCUCUGACAGCUUCCAGAAAAACAUCACGUGACAAACUGAGUUUCCAAAGAAACCAGAAAUUUCCACUUUGUGAAAACCUGUUUAACAAAACAAAACAAGGCCUGUGGCUACAGGAGUUGGUAGAGUUUAUCUUGCCUAGAGCACAAAGUCCUGGGCUUAAUUCCUAGCACUGCAUAAAAACCAAGCUAUGGGACACAUUUGAGGCUAUGGUCUAUGUUUCAAAAACAAAGAAAUCCCUCACACCUGAUACCUGUUGGUGAAUCAUUUCCCCCUCCUCAGGGGGUGCCAGACACUGUUAGUCAUCCCUACAGUGCUACCUCAGCACCUGGUUCAGAGGUUUAGUCCAUUAUCAUCAAGGUGGGAGCAUGGCAGUGUCCAGGAAGGCAUGGUGCUGGAGGAGCUGAGAGUUCUACAUCU